CCUGAAAGCUUCAUUUCCAAGUGUCAUUUUUUAAAAAAUAUUAACAUUUGCAUUCUUUUUGUGGCAGGAACACUUCUGUGUAACUCAGACUGAACUCGUAAAAAGCUGGUCCUUUAGUGGAGUUUUCCCUUCCUAGCCAGACCGAUUUUUGACUCCUGUCCCCGGUUCCCGCUGAGGUUCACCCUCUUUGUCCUACCCGCAGCGCUGCUCCGACAGCUAUGCGGCCAACCGCUCAGUCCGGCUUUACGAAGCGGGGGGCGGGGGCGGCCACCCAGCAGGGCCUUUUCGGAAGGGAGGGGUGCCGUCUGGACUCUGGGACACUGUUUUCAAGAGGCUCCGCCUGCAGGCUCUCAAAACCCGGGAGGAAUCGGGAAAGCGAGGAGGACCGAGGGCGGCGACUCGAAGUUCGCAAAAGGGCUUUAAGCGGCCCUUCCUUCCCCCUCUGGGAUGCACCGUGGGACUCUUCCAGGGGUCCCGCUCCAGCGGGCUGGCCUGGAAGGCGCUCGGCUUGGACCGCAUGACCUGAACGGCGGCGGCGGCGGCGCUGCGAAAAAGAUGGUCCCGGCUGGGAUCUUUGAUCCGGAAUCAAAUGAUCAGCAAACAUUUAACCCAAUGAUCUGAAUCUUCGUUUGAUUCAAUGAUUCGACCGGUGAUCAGCGCGGCUCCCUUGGGCUCGGGGACGUGGUAGCUCCUUCCGUCGCAGCGGGGCGAGGCGGCUGGGCCGGCUUCCUCGCCUCCCCUGGCGCUGUGAGCUCACGGGGCCUCACAAUGCCUCCCCGCUCCCCCGCCAGCCCCCGUGGCGCUCCAGCCCCGGUAGAGAGCGGGCACCGGCAACCAUGUCCUGGCAGCCAAGCCUGUGCCAGGAGGCGGGCGACAUAGUGGCUCGGCUCUUGGGCGGCGCGGUGCUGCUCUGCGUGGUCAGCAACGCCGUCUUUCUGGUGAGGGAGGGGCGCGGGCGGGGAGCGAGGGGGGCCCGGAGCCGCCUCCGAACGGGGACGGCCCCUCCGUCUCAGCGGAAAGCCCUGGGGGGGAGCGCACGUGCGGCCGGGACCCGACGCGCCGCUCGCUCUCUUCCCAGUUCUACCUGCCCUCCAGGCGCCGUCGGGGUUCGGACG
rnacentral:lncRNA from 1 species